GUAGCUGAGACUACAGGUGUAUGCCACCUGCCCAGCUAAUUUUUGUAUUUUUUGUAGAGAUGGCGUGUCACCAUCUUGCCUAGGCUGGUCUCCUAUGCUCAAGCCAUCCUCCUGCCUCAGCCUCCCAAAAUGCUGGGAUUACACCAGCAUUGGUAUAAUGUGAGCCACCAUGCCCAACUUUUUUUUUUUCAUUCUUUUUUUUUUUUUGAGACAGGGUCUCAUUCUGUCCCCCAGGCUGGAGCAGUAGCACAAUCUCAGCUCACUUCGGCCUCAACCUCCUGGGCUCAAGCUAUCCUGAUGCUUCAGCCUACGGAGUAGCUGGGACUACAGGUGUGCACCACCACGUCCAGCUAAUUUUUUUCAUUUUUUGGUAGAGACGAGGUUUCACUGUCCAACACUGUAUUUUUAAAAUUGUUUUUUAUUUCAAUGGUUUUUGGGGAAUAAGUAGUUUUUCAUUACAUGGAUAAGUUCUUUAGUGGUAAUUUCUGAGAUUUUAGUGCACCUGUCACCCAAGCAGUGUACACUGUACCUAAUGUGUAGUCUUUUAUCUCUCCCCACUCACCCCAGAGUCCCCAAAGUCCAUUACAUAUCAUUAUUAUGUAUUCAUGUCCUCAUAGCUUAGCUCCCACUUGUAAGUGAGAACAUAUGAUAUUUGGUUUUCCAUUCCUGAGUUGCUUCACUUAGAAUAAUGGUCUCCAACUCCAAUGCAGGUUGUUGUGAAUGCCAUUAUUUCAUUCCUUUUUAUGGCUGAGUAGUAUUCCACGGUGUAUAUAUACCACAUUUUCUUUUUUUUUUCUUUGAGAUGGAGUCUUGCUGUGUUG
rnacentral:lncRNA from 10 species